CAAAGCAAGCAGAAGCGCCCGCUUCUCACCUGAUUGACGCUAUGUGUAGUUGCCAGGUAUGAUUGGGAUUCAUGAAUGUGAAUGAUCAAAGUGUGGGCGUGUUGCGUCUACACUUUUUUUUCUGC
rfam:Bacillus sp. TS-2 DNA, contig: BspTS2nb40.